AGCGCCGGAGGCACCUCCAGCUCGUGGAGGCCGCACGGCGUCGGUCGGUCGGGCUCGGCCACCGGCUCAGUCCACCGUACCAGCUCGAGACAGGAGGGGUGCGCCCGGAACGGCCGAGGCGACAAGGACCGCUGCUGGCAGACGAGAGGAGGUUGACAGGAGCGGCCAGGUUACCAGGUGCCGACUCGCAGUUCGGAGAACAUGUCCCAGACGAUGAGGGUGCAGCGGCCACUGCGCUGCAGUGACUGUGACAUCGACUUUCCGAAUCUAUGGAUGAAAGCUCUUCAUGACGAAAAGGACCACCCUGACUGGUCAUUUCAUGGCACUAAGCGCUCACUGAGAUGCCACCAGUGUUCUGCCAAGUUUGAUGACCCGAAUAUGCUGGAGGAGCACAAGCAGCGGCUUCACAACACGGUUCGAGGGAAGAGGUUCUUCGACUAGAAGACACCGAAAUUCCCGGGUGCAUCCGUUCGAUUUUAUGAACAUAUAACCCUACAGCUCAACGAUGGAACAUACAGUAUUCAAGACCAGUCGUUCGCUGGGUAAACCCAGUCCGAUAACAAUACUACAUGACCCAAGUUUUAGGUUUAAAAACUAACAACAACAUCCCGACAGGGCGGUAUAAAUAAUCAAACCUAUAGGUUUGAUUAUUUCAAUAUCAUGUCAAUAUCAAACCUAUAGGUUUGAUUAUUGGCAUGAAUGUGGUGCAGUUAUCCCAGUAGUUGACGUUCUCGUGUUUGUCCCUAUAUAAAUGGCGAUGAACGGUCGACUAGAUUCAUGCCAUUACGUCGCUUAUGCGCUGCAGCUUACUUUCUAAGCGUUAUCAUGGACCGAAUUAUGAUUUCUAAUUACAAUUCCUGAUACGGACCUCGACGGCGACUGCAAACUGUCCCGCUCGGCGUGAUGCAGGUAUCUUAUAGGCAUGCUAUGUUAUGCAUUAUUUUAAUUAUAAUUACCAUGGUAGCAUUACAUUUUAUGCAUUUUUGGUUGGCAUUCCUAAAGAAGUGUCGAUGGUUAUCUCGGCAUGUCCUGCACCGCACAAAGUGUUUCUGUUUGACUUGGAGUUGGAACGCUAUAUUUUCCAGCAAAGUUAUUGUCCGAUUUAUCAUUUAUGGACCGUAACUAUUAGCGUUAGUGUUAUCAGCGUUUCUAUAGGUAUCUAUCUACUAUUGUUUAGGUAUCCUACAUAUUCAUGAACUACUUGCCAACAUGCAAUAGCGUAUUGAUAAAGCAAUUGUUCAUUUUUGUUUGUGUCGACAUUUCGACAAUAACUUCAAGGUCGCUUAUCGCAAAUAUAAAGUCAAUCACUUCUCUCGUCCGGUUAUUAAUACAUUGUAGAAAAUGUUCUA